AACGAACGCUGGCGGCAUGCCUAACACAUGCAAGUCGAACGAGACCUUCGGGUCUAGUGGCGCACGGGUGCGUAACGCGUGGGAACCUGCCCUUAGGUUCGGAAUAACUCCCCGAAAGGGGUGCUAAUACCGGAUAAUGUCUUCGGACCAAAGAUUUAUCGCCUUUGGAUGGGCCCGCGUUGGAUUAGCUAGUUGGUAGGGUAAAAGCCUACCAAGGCGACGAUCCAUAGCUGGUCUGAGAGGAUGAUCAGCCACACUGGGACUGAGACACGGCCCAGACUCCUACGGGAGGCAGCAGUGGGGACUAUUGGACAAUGGGCGAAAGCCUGAUCCAGCAAUGCCGCGUGAGUGAUGAAGGCCUUAGGGUUGUAAAGCUCUUUUACCCGGGAUGAUAAUGACAGUACCGGGAGAAUAAGCUCCGGCUAACUCCGU
rnacentral:rRNA from 1 species